rnacentral:tRNA from 1 species
GUGGCUGUAGCUCAAUGGCAGAGCACCUGACUGUGGAUCAGGGGGUUGCGGGUUCGAGACCCGUCAGCCACC